rnacentral:rRNA from 1 species
GACGAACGCUGGCGGCGUGCCUAAUACAUGCAAGUAGAACGAGUUGCGAACGGGUGAGUAACGCGUAGGAACCUGCCUCAUAGCGGGGGAUAACUAUUGGAAACGAUAGCUAAUACCGCAUACUGUGAGAUGGACCUGCGGUGUAUUAGCUAGUUGGUGAGGGAAAGGCCUACCAAGGCAACGAUCCGUAGCUGGUCUGAGAGGAUGAUCAGGCACACUGGAACUGAGACACGGUCCAGACUCCUACGGGAGGCAGCAGUGGGGAAUAUUGGACAAUGGGCGAAAGCCUGAUCGAGCCAUGCCGCGUGUGUGAAGAAGGUCUUCGGAUUGUAAAGCACUUUAAGUUGGGAGGCGUUACCAACAGAAUAAGCACCGGCUAACUACGUGCCAGCCGCCGCGGUAAUUC